UUAAUUAAUUAUGUACAAGGAAGUUACUUGGUGUUGAGAAUCAGUAUUCAUAUUCAACAUUCAUUGUAAUAAAUAUAGUUUAUAGGCACAUACAUAAUCACUGAUCUAGAGGAAAUCAAAUAUCCUCCAUUUAUUUGUAACAAGUGCAAUAAGCCUAUAUAAACUCAGUCCCGUGCUGUAUUCAGACACAGGGUACCUAGAGCCUAAUAGAGGCACCUCGAUAGACCCAUUAUCCCUGGCUAUAAUUUUCAUUUUUUUCGGCGAACCACUUGCAUCCGGUUCAACCUCCUUAAGCCCCUUCUUCAUCGGUGCACUCUAUUCAUUCGUUUUCCGAUAACUUUUCUAGCAACCACCGCAGCAGCCGCCACCGGUGACAUUUCCAGCCGAAGAUUCCUCAAAUCUGUCACUCACGUCUCCAUCGGAGUUCUCACGCACCGCUCCUUUGACGAGCCAAACAGCAGCUAUCCACGGUGCAUGACGGCGCAUGCGCGACCCUUUCCGGACGCACUUCCAGUUGUGAUCUCGCCUCCCUAAGGUGACCCUAGCCAUGGGGUUUCGCUUUCAUCAGAGCACUUUGACGAAAACUCUAUAUUGUGUUCUUUUUUUUUUUUUUUUGCAGGGGUUGUUGUUCGUGUUUCUCUCUCACCAUGGCUUUUGAUGGUAAGGCAGACACUCCAAUUUUUUCGAACCUCCCACUUUCUAUUGAGAAGUUGGAUGGUUCGAACUACUCUACUUGGGCAUCCAGCAUCAAUUUGUGGAUUCACUACUUCUACUGAAUCCAUACCUAAGGCUGAACAUGCACAAUGCGAAAGAUCGAUUGUUAGUUAUGCAGUGUUAUCAGGUCCACUCUCUCAAACCAAUUUUCAGGCCUCACAACACCAAUGAAUCGCUUUGGAGUGAGGCAUGGCACAAAUGAUGCUCAACGGUCAUACGGCGUGUGCAAAGACUAGAUGACCUUCCUAGCUCUUCUUCAAUUUCACGGGCCCAAGUCGGCCUACCUAGGGCGAGUUCAUGCAGCUCUCCUUGAUUUUAAUGAGCUUCUAUCACACACACCAGUAAAUCUAUUGCUUGCAUCUCUCCUUCAUCUUCCUUGGAUCCUUGGGUACUUGACUCUGGUGCUACUGAUCAUAUUUCUGGUAACCGUUCUCUUUCUACGUAUGGCUAUUUACCGACUAUUACCUCUACCAAUGGGUCUCAAAGAAAACCCCAAGGCAUUGACACCACACACUGUCGAGUCUGUCCUUUUGUUACCUAAUUGAACGGAUUUCGGGACAAACGAUUGGCGUCGGAUGUGAAUCACAUGGCCUAUAUUAUCUCUCUGGGUCGCCGCAGGUGUGCUUUUCCAUAAUUUCUCCAUUAACAAUUCAUGCUCAAUUGGGACAUCCUGGUCUACCCACACUUCAGAAAAUGGUUCCCAAUCUCCAUCAGCUGUCUAGUCUACAUUGUGACUCAUGUCAGUUCGGGAUACAUACUCGUAGUUCGUUUCCUAGUCGUGUCAAUAAAAGGGCUGCAUCCUCAUUUGCUUUGGUUGACUUAGAUGUUUGGGGUCCAUCUCGAGUUAUUACCCCAACAGGUUUUAAGUAUUUUGUCACUUUUAUAGAUGGUUUUUCGCGUUACACGUGACUCUGGCUAACGAAAAAUAAUCCUGAAUUGUUUUCCAUCUUUGAAAAAAUUUAUAAUGAAAUAAAAACCCAGUUUGGUAUA